GGAUAGUGUAACUGCCUCUGUGUCAGUCAGCGCGGUAUUUCUGAGUUAUUUAUUUUGGUAGGAACCAAAGUUCUCUAAGGCGGAACCUUUGUUUUUGUAUCGCCCGUUUCCGUCAGGACAUACUUUAGCGUAACACUCAUCAAAAAAGUCCGCUGAUUUAGUACAUGUUUUUCAGUGCUGAUGCAUCUGCAAAAUAGCUCUUAGCAUCAAGAUAAACAAUCCUACAGAGUAAUGCCAAGCUACACAACUUUCCUCUUGCAAUGCAGCUACUAAGUUUUCACGGUCUGGAUGAACCAAAUAAAUCCUGCCAGUAAACAAAAAGGAAA